AGAGUUUGAUCAUGGCUCAGAACGAACGCUGGCGGCAGGCCUAACACAUGCAAGUCGAACGCCCUAGCAAUAGGGAGUGGCAGACGGGUGAGUAACACGUGGGAACCUUCCCUAUAGUACGGAAUAGCUCAGGGAAACUUGAAGUAAUACCGUAUACGCCCGAGAGGGGAAAGAUUUAUCGCGAUUGGAUGAGCCCAUGUCGGAUUAGCUAGUUGGCGGGGUAAUGGCCCACCAAGGCGACGAUCCGUAGCUGGUCUGAGAGGAUGAUCAGCCACACUGGAACUGAGACACGGUCCAGACUCCUACGGGAGGCAGCAGUAGGGAAUAUUGGACAAUGGGCGCAAGCCUGAUCCAGCCAUGCCGCGUGAGUGAAGAAGGCCCUCGGGUUGUAAAGCUCUUUUGUCCAGAAAGAAAAGCGCCGGGUUAAUACCCUGGUGUCCUGACGGUACCGGAAGAAUAAGCACCGGCUAACUUCAUG
rnacentral:rRNA from 1 species